rnacentral:lncRNA from 10 species
GGAAAAUCCUAUUUACAAUUUACAUAUUCCAGGUAUAAGGAUAAGAUAAGUAAGCCACAAUGACUACUACAGUGUACAUGAGAAGGCUUAUCUUUUUCAGAGGUCAUUACUGUAAAUAGAAUCAUUGAAAAUUGCAAGACAUUAAUUUGUGGAAUGAAUAUACAGAGAGAGCUGAUAUAUUGAAGCAACACACACAGGAAUAUUCCACUUUAGCCUCACUUCCACUCUAGCUCUUUGGGAGCUAUUAUUAUAGGAAAAAUGACACUGUUAUCAAUAGAGAACAUAUGCAUGUGAUUUUGGUGAGUGGAGAUGAUGAAGAAGAUGGAGGUGAUCCAAGAUGUGUGAAACACCGACUUUGCCGAAUUAAGCCUGGCAAGCUCCAACAUUAUGGUUGCUCAGUUUCUUCAGAAAGCAACUCAUGGAGAAGUACAAACCACAGUUAGAAAGUUGAGAGAUUUCAAUGAGAAGCACAGGACCUUUAAGUCACAUGGUUACCUUCAGAAUGCACUCACCAAUUGGUACAGUUAUGAAACCUCUAGAAGUCAUCCAUUCUUGUAUAGACUUACUCUCCUGGCAUGUCUACUUGCUAUGAAACAGCUGUUUAGUCAUGUUGCCAAGAAGAAAAGAAGACAGAAUGCCUCUAGAUAAAGAAAUGCUAUUCCUAUGUCAACUUGCUAUGCAAAGUGUGGACUGUGGACCAGCAGCAUGUGUGUCGCCUGGCAGCUUGUUGCAAAUGCAGAAUCUGAAGCUCUCAUCUAGACCUACUAAACAGACUUCACUUUAACAAUAUAACCGGGCAAGUCAUAUAGUCAUUAAAAUUUGAGAAGUAUGAUCUAGCAUAGAUAUUACUUCAUAAUAAAUGUUUAAUGUUUCAGUUACUAUUGCUGCAUAGCAAAACACCCCAAAAUUAAUGACUUAAAAUGACAACUACCACUUUAUUGUGAGGAAUUCAGGAAAGGCUCAUUUGGGUGUUUGGCUUAUGAUCUUUCAUAUGGGUGCAGUCAGACAAUGUCUGGAUCUGGGACUCUGGUGGACUGAAGCACCUGGUCACUGGUCUGACAUCUUUUUUUCUUCUUAUACAAUCUCAGGGCCUCUCUAUGUAAUCUUGCUGCUAGGCUAGUUUGGGCUUCCCAAAGCCUGGUAGCCUGAGGUCAGUUGGACUGCUUACACAUGGCCGAUGGCUUCAAAAAGGAGUACUCUAGUGGAGAGAGCACAAGUUGCUUGGCUUUUCUGAUCUAGCCUUAGAAGUCACUUCUGCCAUGCUCUAUUUGUUGAAACACUGUAAAACAUCAUCAGUUUGAAGGAGACAGUAUAUACACCUUACCUCUUCAUGGGAGGAUUGUCAAAGUCUCUCUGUAAGAAGAGCAUAGUAUAGGAGAUAUUGUUGUAGCCACCUUUGCAAAAUACAAUUGACACACUUAAUAUUUAUAACUAUUGCCUUUACUCCUUUAUUGUGUAGAUGUAAAUCAGUGAUUAAUUCCAGGUUAAAGGUACUUUUUGGCAUGCUCAAUAGCCGUCUUUACUUUACAGGAGGAGGUAGAGUACCAGAUGGCUUUUCCAAAAGGCAUGCUGAAAAUUAUUAGUAGUUUGAUAAAGAUUCUGAUGAAUUCCUCAAGGCUAAAUGCAGUGCUGAAUUUUCCUUUGUCAUCUUCUUUGAUCUUCUCAGUGAGAAAUUAUCUCAUCUUCUUCCAAAGCCCAUUAGAAUGUUGCCUAUUUUAAAAGUUGAGUUCUUCAUAUCAUAAAUUAAAUAUUAUGUCUAAAGAGUUUCUGGCAUAUGCUACAUACUCAAUGAUUGCAGGUAUUUUCAUUAAACCUAUUUAUAUAUAUUUCUUACCUCCUUCUCCUUUCUUUUCCUGGUGAACUGCAAUUCCUUUAGAAGCCAAUUCUGAAUUUCUAGGCAGAACAGUCAUAGUUUUCUUUCGGUUUCAAACUAAUUUAAACCCCAAAAACCAGUAUUCAUG